UACGUAGGGGGCAAGCGUUGUCCGGAAUCAUUGGGCGUAAAGAGCGUGUAGGCGGCCAGAAAAGUCCGCUGUGAAAACUCGGGGGCUCAACCUCCGAGCUUGCAGUCGAUACGGGCAGGCUAGAGUUCGGCAGGGGGAGACUGGAAUUCCUGGUGUAGCGGUGAAAUGCGCAGAUAUCAGGAGGAACACCGGUGGCGAAGGCGGGUCUCUGGGCCGAUACUGACGCUGAGGAGCGAAAGCGUGGGGAGCGAACAGG
rnacentral:rRNA from 1 species